CUUCAUAGCAAACAUGCUUCUUGCUCAAAUCAAGGGAAAGGAACCCAAGGGCAAAGCAACAGCCAUUAAAGGGAGUACAUUUAAUGUCCGAUAGGUGGAGAAAAUGCUGAAGGACGUUCACUACUAAAAAGAAGCAGAAGUGAAGAGAUACAAAGCUUCAGCUACAGUCUGUUUAUUGCCUACAGUGAGACCUCCACAUUUCUGCACUUGUGAUCAUGCAAACAUCCAGUGUAGAGCACUUCACCUGCCCGGCAUGUACACCCAACAAUGCUCGCUCUGUGCAGAUGGC